AGUGUUCGACCCGUGCGCUCAUAACGGUCUGGUUGCAGGUUCGAGUCCUGCCGGGCCCACCA
rnacentral:tRNA from 1 species